GGGUCAGUAGGUUGGUCGUGCCACCGGUACGUACUGGUCUCACUGAUUCCUCCUUCCUGAAGAACCGUAAUGCCAUUAAUUUGGCGUUGCGGGGAGAUAGGACUGUUACUUUGAAAAAAUUAGAGUGUUUAAAGCAAGCUAACGCUUGAAUACAUUAGCAUGGAAUAAUGAAAUAGGACGAUCGAUCCUAUUUUGUUGGUUUCUAGGAUUGACGUA
rnacentral:rRNA from 1 species